rnacentral:lncRNA from 1 species
UGAUUCUAGUCCUGGUAGCAAUUGCUGGGCUCUCAGCAACUCUUCAUGUGGGCUCUUCCCUUCCCCCUUUCAAAACUUGCAAUUAACCCUGGUCCAUCUUGAAAAUCUUACUGUGAUUCAUGAAUAUAAAUAUUCAGUAUCUUUCACUGUAUCUAUGCCCACUAUUGAGCAGGUCUAUAUUUUCAGUCCUGUUUAUAUGCUAUUUACAAUGAUCGUCAAACACACUUAAGCAAC